CCUACGGGAGGCAGCAGUGGGGAAUAUUGCACAAUGGGGGAAACCCUGAUGCAGCGACGCCGCGUGAGUGAAGAAGUACUUCGUUAUGUAAAGCUCUCUCAGCAGGGAAGAACAUUACGUUACCUGAGUAGGAAGCCCCGGCUAACUCCGUCCCAGCAGCCGCUGUAAGACGUAGGGGCCAAGCGUUAUCCGGAUUUACUGGGUGUAACGGGAGCGUAGACGGCAGUGCAAGUCUGGAGUGAAAGGCGGGGGCUCAACCCCCGGACUGCUCUGGAAACUGUACGGCUGGAGUGCAGGAGAGGUAAGUGGAAUUCCUAGUGUAGCGGUGAAAUGCGUAGAUAUUAGGAGGAACACCAGUGGCGAAGGCGGCUUACUGGACUGUAACUGACGUUGAGGCGCGAAAGCGUGGGGAGCAAACAGGAUUAGAUACCCUUGUAGUC
rnacentral:rRNA from 1 species